CUUGCCCCAGUAACGGCGAGUGAAGCGGCAAUAGCUCAAAUUUGAAAUCUGGCCCUUUCAGGGUCCGAGUUGUAAUUUGCAGAGGGCGCUUUGGUGUCGGCAGCGGCCUAAGUUCCUUGGAACAGGUCAUCAUAGAGGGUGAGAAUCCCGUAUGUGGCUGCUUGUCUUCACCGUGUAAAGCCCCUUCGAUGAGUCGAGUUGUUUGGGAAUGCAGCUCUAAAUGGGAGGUAAAUUUCUUCUAAAGCUAAAUAUUGGCCAGAGACCGAUAGCGCACAAGUAGAGUGAUCGAAAGAUGAAAAGCACUUUGGAAAGAGAGUCAAAAAGCACGUGAAAUUGUUGAAAGGGAAGCGCUUGCAGCCAGACGUGCCCGCAGUUGCUCAUCUCCGGUUUACCGGGGUGCAUUCUUCUGUGGGCAGGCCAGCAUCAGUUCAGGCGGCUGGAGAAAGACCUGUGUCAUGUAGCUGUCUUCGGGCAGUGUUAUAGGGCAGGUGGAAUGCAGCCAGCUUGAACUGAGGUCCGCGCAUCUGCUAGGAUGCUGGCGUAAUGGCUGUAAGCGGCCCGUCUUGAAACACGGACCAAGGAGUCUAACAUCUAUGCGAGUGUUUGGGUGUCAAGCCCGAGCGCGUAAUGAAAGUGAACGGAGGUGGGAACCCCUCGGGGUGCACCAUCGACCGAUCCUGAUGUCUUCGGAUGGAUUUGAGUAAGAGCAUAGCUGUUGGGACCCGAAAGAUGGUGAACUAUGCCUGAAUAGGGUGAAGCCAGAGGAAACUCUGGUGGAGGCUCGCAGCGGUUCUGACGUGCAAAUCGAUCGUCAAAUUUGGGCAUAGGGGCGAAAGA
rnacentral:rRNA from 1 species